UACAAAGGUAGUUUUUUUUCGAAAAGGGGGACUCCCCGGCCUCUGCAUCAGAACGAUGCAUACGGUCAACUUUAUAAAUAAGCAAAUAGGUUCAACAAGGUCUUAGAGUCUUAACCAAAAGUAAAAGUAAAGGCAAGCUCACAAAGAGCCAAAGAGCCAAAAACACACUAGCAAAAAGAAUGCCACAACCGGCUGGGCAAAGAAAGAUAGGAAAACUAAUUGCCUAUCCUAUUACAUGACCGCCAUCCAAACCGGUAGAAUAUAUCCUGUGCUACAGUCUCCCACCGGAUAGAUCCAGUAACCAAACGCUCCCUGGCCUCCGUCGGAGUGAGUAGCGACCACAUACGGAUCAACGCAGUGGCUUGGAAGAUAACCUACAAAAAAUGAAUAUUUGUUGUCCUGUUAAAAACCAAAUCAUUUAUGCAGUUCCAUACUGCCAACAAUAAAGCACAUACUCCUACUCGAAUGUGACUCGUUGUUUCGGACUCUAUCCCAUUAAGCCACGUUCCAAAUAACGUACUGAUGGCAUUCGGAGGAGUAAUGUUAAAGGCUAUGUGCACCGUCUGCCAUAGGCCAAUGGGCACUCAAAAAAAAGGUGUUUUUUGCCAAGUUAUCCUUAGUUAAAAUGACUUGUUUAUGUACAAACCACAUAAACACUUUAAUUUUCAAAAGAACUUUGACUUUCCAUACAAAUUUGGAACUAGGAAUGGCCCUAGAGUUGAUGACAUUGAGAUACAUCGAUUUAACUGUGAACUCUCCAGACCUAGUAAGCUUCUAGCACAAAUGAUCAGGUUGUUGAGAUAGCUGAACCUCCAUCAGUCUACUCACUAAAUGAAGCCACGCUUCCCAAUGAUUAGCGGUAAGCGUCCUCCUAAAAUGAAUAUUAAGGGGGAUGGAUUGCAGUAUCGUUGCAACAUAAGCCUCAUGUCGUUGAACAAUACUAUACAUGGACGGGUACUGAAGCGCUAGCAGCGUCUCUCCUAGCCAGGUAUCUUCCCAGAAUCGUGUGGUAGUGCCAUUACAGAUUAUAAACUUUGUCCUAUUGAAAAAGGCUGAUUUUACUCUCAUGAGCCCCUUCCAAAAUGAUAUAAAGGUAGUAAUUUGUAGCUCGGAAUUCAGUCAGUAAUGAAGGGAAUGCAUGCCAACAGUCUAGAUUAGAACAAGCUAGUAGUAAUCAGAAACCAACCAUGACAAGAAGACACAAGUCAAUAAAGAUUCAGCAUGGGGGACAAAAACUCUAAAGAAAAUUCUAGUUAAAGUAAAUUUACAGUAUCCUGAUUUUUUUGAAAGGCAGACUCCUAAUUGUAGGGCUUCAGAUGGUAGCAUGUGCGGCAGCGACACGGAGAAGAAAAUUCCAGUUAAAGUAAAGAAUAGACAACAAGAAAAGAAACAUUUUUUUUGUACCGCCACACUAGUUAGUGUAAUUUUAAGCUCGCUUGUCUGGCUACAAGAAAACAAACCUCACUAACUCUGUAACUUUAACAUCAAAAUUAAAGGUGUUAGAAAAACAGGAAUCAACAUCUCACGACCAAACAAAAGGAAUCUACCUGAGGUUGGCAUGACGAAAGGAAGCUAACUUCUAGCAACGCCGAAAAGUUACAAACAAUUCAGAAUUUCAGAUUUUAGAGGGAAUCACGGUAGGUUACUGCAAUUCAAAACUAGCAUAGCCACUAGCCAUAUGCGACCA
rnacentral:lncRNA from 1 species